AUUGAACGCUGGCGGCAGGCCUAACACAUGCAAGUCGAGCGAGCGGCGGACGGGUGAGUAAUGUAUGGGAAUCUCCUCGAUAGAGGGGGAUAACUACUGGAAACGGUAGCUAAUACCGCAUACUAUCGGAUGAACCCAUAUGGGAUUAGCUAGUAGGUGGGGUAAAGGAUCACCUAGGCGACGAUCCCUAGCUGGUCUGAGAGGAUGAUCAGCCACACUGAGACUGAGACACGGUCCAGACUCCUACGGGAGGCAGCAGUGGGGAAUGUUGCACAAUGGGCGCAAGCCGGAUGCAGCCAUGCCGCGUGUGUGAAGAAGGCCUUCGGGUUGUAAAGUACUUUCAGCGGGGAGGCGUUACCCGCAGAAGAAGCACCGGCGAACUCCGUGCCAGCAGCCGCGGUAAUAC
rnacentral:rRNA from 1 species